UACGUAGGGUGCAAGCGUUGUCCGGAAUUAUUGGGCGUAAAGAGCUCGUAGGCGGUUUGUCGCGUCUGCUGUGAAAUCCCGAGGCUCAACCUCGGGCCUGCAGUGGGUACGGGCAGACUAGAGUGCGGUAGGGGAGAUUGGAAUUCCUGGUGUAGCGGUGAAAUGCGCAGAUAUCAGGAGGAACACCGGUGGCGAAGGCGGUUCUCUGGGCCUUACCUGACACUGAGGAGCGAAAGCGUGGGGAGCGAACAGG
rnacentral:rRNA from 1 species